UGGUUUUUGUAAAGGUGGAAGAUGAAGACCGAUAGUUUGGAGCCAUUUUGUGAAGGUGGGAGUUGACUGUAUCAGAGAAAGAAGAUUUCAGCUGACAGGUGUUAGAUUUUCAGACUAUGCUUGUUGUAGUCCUGGGAUCCUCAGAGGUUCCAUGACCCACUUUGAGGGCACUGAUAGGGCAAGCUUUGUGAGUCCAGACCUCCCACCCUGUACUUUGCCCGGAGUGGCCUGCUGUCACCACCCCUGGUGUGUGAGCUCCAUGGCACCAGAGCAAGCUCGCUUCUCCUUUCCCAGGUUCUCCUCACCAUCGAGAAUCACACCUCACUCAUGUAGGUUCUCAACAAGUACAUGAUGGAAGAAUAAAUACUGGCUUUUUGCCCAAGAUCUCUUUGGGAAAACGAGUCGUAGAAAAACUGCUAUAGGCAGUAUGGAGUCGGUGUUGCCUUUUAUUUGCAUUUUAUAUCAAACUAUAAAUACCUUUCAUUUUCUUAAGUAAUCCAUGCUUAUUGUCCUCUUCCAUGUUGCAUGAUUAUUUCUUUUUUUUUUUUUUUACAAAGAAGAAAGAGGAAUUGUGUAACUUAUAUUCUGAAUCGCACCCCGUCCUUAUGUCCUGUUUCCUCAUUUUACCUCCCCCUGGCUUGGCAAACCAUUCUUGAGAAGAUGAGAGGGCAGGGGGUUGCAUUUAUGAAGCAGGGAGGGAUGGUGGGAGUUUAAAGCCUCAUGCACCCAUAUGCUCUAUACCGCACUUUAUGGGCGCUUCCUAGAUACUGCAUUAUUUUACAAAUUGAAGGUUGGUGGCGACCUUGCCUUGAGUGUGUCCUUUGGUGCCAUUUUUCCGACAGCAUUUGAUCAUUUCAUCUCUCUGUCCCAUUUUGGUAAUUCUUGCAGAAUUUCAAACUUUUUCAUUCUUAUUAUAUUGGUUAGAGUGGUCUGUGAUCAGUGAUUAUGACUCGCUGAAAACUCAGAUGAUGGUUAGCAUUUCUUAGCAAUAAAGUAUUUUUAAUUAAGGUGUAUGCAGUGUGUUUGUAGACAUAAUGCUAUUUCACAUGACAGCACAGUAUAAACGUAACUUUUAUGUGCACUAGGGAACCAAAAGAGGCAUUUGACUUGCUUUAUUGUGAUAUUCGUUUUACUGGGAUGUUCACUUCAUCGUGGUAUUUGCUUUAUCAUGGUACUUGCUUUAUCGCGAUAUUCGCCUUAUUUCAUGGUCUACCACCAAACCUGCAUUAUCUCUGAGGUGUGCCUGCACGCUUGUUUCUUUUUCUUCUUGCAGAGGUGGAAUUCAACGUAUCAGAAGCAUUCGUGCCUCUCGUCACCCCAAAUCCCAAUCACUCAUCUCACACUGGAAAUGACUCUGACUCGGGGACCCUCGAGAGGAAGCGGCCUGCCAGCAUGGCGGUCAUGGAAGAGGACUUGGUGAAGAAGGAGAGUCCUCCAAGACCCAAGGACACCACACCUGCCCCUGCCCCAGGGAGAAACAGCAGUCAGAUGGCCGCCAGCCAGAACCAGGCCCCCAUGGCGGCCGGCUCCCAUCAGCUCUCCUUUGGCCCAGGGCACAAUUCUGCCGGCCCUAGCCCGCACACUCUGCGCCGAGGUAAGAAGCCACCUUUACUCCUUUCCCUUAGGGAGGGAUGUGCAGACUUCCUUGGGUUAGCACAGGGAUUCACGUUGCAAGAUCGUUUCCAUGUCUGUUAUAAAAUGGUAAGCGAGAGAGGAACCUGCAUGGCUUCUUCGGAGGAGCACGUGACUCUUGAUCUUGGAGUCGCAAGUUCAAGCCCCGCGUUGGGUGUAAAGAGUGCUUUAAAAAAAAAAAUCUUUAAAAAAAUGGCAAGCAGAAAAAUCAGUCAUUUAAGAGCAAAAUCAUUAAAAAGAAAUGAAAUAAUGGAGAGCAGAAAAGCAGGCAUUUAAGAAUAUGUUUAAGCCACAAAGCCUAGCAAACAAAAAGUUGCUUCUCAGAAACAACAUUCCCAGUUUUCCAGGAAUCUGGCAUUCCAAGCUCUUCCUCUGCCUGGAAACCUCUGCUGUAGCCAGGCAGUACGAGUCUGCAAGCCGCUGCAGCCUCUAGAUUGAGGUCAGGGCUUUCUGGGUCCUGACUGACAGCGUAUGAUCUGAAUCGUGCCCACCCAUAUCCCUCAACCUCCACCCAGCAGUUAGGGGGGUUGUGCUAAAACACAGCAGAUCAUGUCAUUGCUCUGUUGAAACUCUCCAGUGGCUUCUGUGCAGACCUUCCCCGUGGGCCCCGUGUGGUUGGGCCUGCCUUUGGGGCCACCGCACUUACCACUCCCCUUUCUCACCAACCUUCAGUGGUCCUGGUCUGCUCUCUGCUCCUGGAAUGCCCUAAGCUCAUUCUCUCUUUUUUUUCUCCUUUUAAAAGUGAGAACAGGGGUGCCUGGGUGGCUCAUUCAUUAAGCAUCUGCCUUCGGCUCAGGGCGUGAUCCCGGCGUUCUGGGAUCGAGCC